AGCGAACGCUGGCGGCAGGCUUAACACAUGCAAGUCGAGCGGCAGCGCGGGGCAACCUGGCGGCGAGCGGCGGACGGGUGAGUAACGCGUAGGAAUCUACCUGGUAGUGGGGGAUAGCCCGGGGACACUCGGAUUAAUACCGCAUACGUCCCAAGGGAGAAAGUGGGGGAUCUUCGGACCUCACGCUAUCAGAAGAGCCUGCGUAGGAUUAGCUAGUUGGUAGGGUAAAGGCCUACCAAGGCGACGAUCCUUAACUGGUCUGAGAGGAUGAUCAGUCAAACCGGAACCGGGACACGGGCCGGACUACUACGGGAGGCAGCAGUGGGGAAUAUUGGACAAUGGGGGCAACCCUGAUCCAGCCAUGCCGCGUGUGUGAAGAAGGCCGUCGGGUUGUAAAGCACUUUAAGCAGGGAGGAAGGCACUAAAGUUAAUAACUUUGGUGAUUGACGUUACCUGCAGAAUAAGCACCGGCUAACUCCGUGCCAGCAGCCGCAGUAACAC
rnacentral:rRNA from 1 species